rnacentral:rRNA from 1 species
UGUGUAGGCGGCAUAGUAAGUCAGAUGUGAAAGCCCUCGGCUUAACCGAGGAAGUGCAUUUGAAACUGCUAAGCUAGAGUACGGGAGAGGGUUGUAGAAUUCCCGGUGUAGAGGUGAAAUUCGUAGAUAUCGGGAGGAAUAUCGGUGGCGAAGGCGGCAGCCUGGACCGAUACUGACGCUGAGACGCGAAUGCGUGGGGAGCAAACAGGAUUAGAUACCCUGGUAGUCC